rnacentral:rRNA from 1 species
GACGAACGCUGGCGGCGUGCCUAAUACAUGCAAGUAGAACGCUGAAGGAGGAGCUUGCUCUUCUGGAUGAGUUGCGAACGGGUGAGUAACGCGUAGGUAACCUGCCUGGUAGUGGGGGAUAACUAUUGGAAACGAUAGCUAAUACCGCAUAAUAACAGUUGUUGCAUGACAACUGUUUGAAAGGUGCAAUUGCAUCACUACCAGAUGGACCUGCGUUGUAUUAGCUAGUUGGUGGGGUAACGGCUCACCAAGGCGACGAUACAUAGCCGACCUGAGAGGGUGAUCGGCCACACUGGGACUGAGACACGGCCCAGACUCCUACGGGAGGCAGCAGUAGGGAAUCUUCGGCAAUGGACGAAAGUCUGACCGAGCAACGCCGCGUGAGUGGAGAAGGUUUUCGGAUCGUAAAGCUCUGUUGUAAGAGAAGAACGAGUGUGAGAGUGGAAAGUUCACACUG